CUUGUAGCUCAGUUGGUAGAGCACCUGACUCUUAAUCAGGGUGUCCAGGGUUCGACCCCCUGC
rnacentral:tRNA from 1 species